rnacentral:rRNA from 1 species
AACGAACGCUGGCGGCAGGCCUAACACAUGCAAGUCGAGCGCCCUAUCGCGUCCGCGCCGUUCGGGUGGGUAAUGCGGGGGUAUAUGCCCUUCUCUAGGGAAUCGCCUCGGGAAACUGCGAUUAAUUCUGUAUUCGCCCCGUGAGGGCAGGAUUGAUCGGGGAAGGAUUAGCGCGCGUUGGAUUAGGUAGUUGGUGGGGUCAUGGCCUACCACUCCGAGGAUCCAUAGCUGGUUUGAGAGGAUGAUCAGCCACACUGGGACUGAGACACAGCCCAGACUCCUACGGGAGGCAGCAGUGGGGAAUCGUAGACAAUGGGGGCAACCCUGAUCGAGCCAGGGCGGGUGAGUGAUGAAGGCAUUAGGGUAGUAGAGCUGUAUGAGAUGGGAAGAUAAUGACGGUACCAGCAGAAGAAGCCACGGCUAACUCCGUG